rnacentral:piRNA from 1 species
UGACCAAAGCCGCGCAAUGAGGAAGC